rnacentral:lncRNA from 1 species
GAGGGAAAAAAGGCUGUCGAAGAUUCGUGGGGGCUUCCGACUGGUGCUAAAGUGGGCCACGAAAGCAUGUUCGAGUUGCCCAAAGGAGUGAAUGCUUCCUGAGCGAAGGCCGGAGUACCAGGCCCUGGCAGCCUUGUGAAGUGUGGCAGGGAAACCGAUGCAGAGAAGGGCAUCGGUUGCCCCUUGGAUCGUCAUGAGAGCCUUAUAGCUC